GUCUCCCCGGGCCGAUCGGAGACAAAAGCCUCUCAGCCGCCGCCCCACCUGCCGCCCCUCGGGCCGUGCGGGGCCGCCUGAGGCGGGGACGGCGUGUGAGGGAUAGUGCCCCGCUCCGCGCCGGCAAACUUAUCUUUAGAUGUGCCUCCCGUCUCGGUGUACUUAAAAAUAGCUUCGUGUUUAUUUAAGGAGUGGGAAGUAAUGCGAUUCGGGAGGCCUGGGUAGUUGUGAUGGUGCAUGAUGCAAAGCAGUGAUCUUCAGGAAGCAAGCAAGAUAUCAUCAUAUCAUCCAUACUGCUUGCAAUUAACCCAUCUCAUCCUGAACAAGGAAACUAUGAAUAUUACAUUGAAAAGUUAAAGCACUAAGAAAGAUCAUUACUGGAAACUGUUGCUUCAGGGAAAGGUCAUUUUUAUCUUCUAUUCAGUUCAGAUUCACUUUGAAUACAAAUUGCCUCCUGUGUGUCCAUGGGAACAGCUACACUGCAGGACUGAUAGCAGCAGCUCUUUGGGCUACGUGUGCUCCUCUGUUCUCCAGAGCUGACCUCCCUCUUCUGCAUUUUAGCUAGAUUCUGCCUGCUGGCCAAGCAAGUCUAGGGGAUACUAUCUUGCCACCAGUUGUUAUCCCACAGUAAAAAGAUUCACUAAAAGUAUGUGAACUUGCUUUUAUAUGCCCAUACCCCAUAAUUGUAAAGAGUGGUUUCUGUUUGAAGAGCCUGUAUGUAUUUGGUGAAGAAAACUUGUUUAUUUUUGCUCUUUUAUGCCAUUUUCAAACUGUUUUUGUUUCUGUUGGAUGUGGACUAAGCAACAUGGAGUGCUUAGUGACUAUCAGCUUAAUAUUCUGAUCUGCCGACAAAACCUCACAGAAACAAAUAUGGGUUGUAGCAGUUGCUUUUUCAUAACAGCCUACAGCCUGCUGUCCACAUAAAUUGAUAUCUUAGUGUAAAUAUUUUGAUGUGAUUGUAUGCUAUUGAGAAUUAUUAGUAUUGGAAAUAUAUGUAUACGUGAGAAAUUAUGUUUGCAUCUCGUAACUAUUGAUGGAGUCAGC
rnacentral:lncRNA from 1 species